AGCUCUAAUAGCGUAUAUUAAAGUUGUUGCGGUUAAAAAGCUCGUAGUUGGAUUUUGGGACCUCUGCGGUCGGUCCGGUGUAAACCGCGAACUGACGGCUGGGUCCUUCUGUCUGGAGACGGGGUGCUUCCUCUUGAUUGAGGGGCGCUCCUGCUCUAGGACUCUUACUUUGAACAAAUUAGAGUGUUUAAAGCAGGCCAACGCCUUGAAUACAUUAGCAUGGAAUAAACCUAUAGGACUUUGGUUCUAUUUUGUUGGUUUUAAGGACCGAAGUAAUGAUUAAUAGGGAUAGUUGGGGGCAUUCGUAUUUAAUUGUCAGAGGUGAAAUUCUUAGAUUUAUGAAAGACGAACUACUGCGAAAGCAUUUGCCAAGGAUGUUUUCAUUAAUCAAGAACGAAAG
rnacentral:rRNA from 1 species